rnacentral:rRNA from 1 species
AUGUGGUUUAAUUCGAUGAUACGCGAGGAACCUUACCAAGGCUUAAAUGGGAAUUGACAGGUUUAGAAAUAGACUUUUCUUCGGACAAUUUUCAAGGUGCUGCAUGGUUGUCGUCAGCUCGUGCCGUGAGGUGUUAGGUUAAGUCCUGCAACGAGCGCAACCCCUGUCACUAGUUGCCAUCAUUCAGUUGGGGACUCUAGUGAGACUGCCUACGCAAGUAGAGAGGAAGGUGGGGAUGACGUCAAGUCCUCAUGGCCCUUACGGGCUGGGCUACACACGUGCUACAAUGGUGGUGACAGUGGGCAGCGAGACCGCGAGGUCGAGCUAAUCUCCAAAAGCCAUCUCAGUUCGGAUUGCACUCUGCAACUCGAGUGCAUGAAGUUGGAAUCGCUAGUAAUCGCGGAUCAGCAUGCCGCGGUGAAUACGUUCCCGGGCCUUGUACACACCGCC